AAAAAAAAAAAAAAAAGACUUAACGAAGAUGAAUGAAACAAAUUCUAAGUGUCUGAGAUUUAUGGUCUACGCAAUGACCUUCCUUUGAAACAGUGUCAGUGUCAUUCCCCUUGCUGGCUGAGUGCACACACGCACACAUGCUGUCUCUGCAGCUCUCCCAGCCCGUUUCUUUCCUUAUUUAUUUUUUCUCCACCCUGAUUUAUAAGGACAUGCCCUAUCUUCAUGUCUCAGGGAGCACAUAGGACUUUCAGUAAACAUACACAAUGUGGUUCCUUUUCUUCCCAGAGUCAAGAGGAAAAGGCUCCUCCCCACAAGAUAAACAACCCACCCACCCGUUCCCUCAAGCAAAUACAGAGGGGAAGAGGCGUCAGGCUUUGCAUCGUGCCCCGCAGGCCUACAGGUUGCCUUCUUCUGCAGUAGAGAACUCCAUCCAUGAGGACCAUCUCUUGAGAUUGCCCUGCUAUGGAUCACCCCAGUAAAUUCUAAAAGAAGACGGGAGCAGCAGCAAGGAAUGACCACAACAACAUAACAAAAUUCUUGCAGUUCUUUCCAAACCAUUGUGUUUUGUUUUGUUUUUUAACACCUUAGCAUCACAACGACUGCCUUCACUAAGUUUUUCCUCCCUCCCACUUCUGUCCCCAUUUCGGUGUGAAUACACAGCGGUGGUUUUAUGUUUUAUGCCAUUACGCUGUGCGUUGGCCAGGGUAGGGUUGCAGCAUCUCACGGAGCACCAGGUUGCUGCAGGAGUGGGCAGGGGGAGCAGAUGGCCCGAGAGAGCUCAGUGGUUGUUUAAACAACAAAUUUCAGCUGCACAUAGCAAAGGUAGCAGAGAAAAUUAUUCUGAAAUGGGUAAACUCAUCCUGCAGAAGCAAUAGAAAAUAUCUUAAAGGGCACUCUCUGCUCCCGGUUUUCACCAUCCUCCCUUAUUGCAGCACGUAGCCUGCAUAUCUUAUCAUUUUUACCCAUCUUUCACCAAUCAGAUUGAAGCUAGGAUUUUUUUUUAAGCAUUUGCUGAUCCUAAGCUCACCCAAUUUUGUAUACAGGGUUGUAGCUGCAUGCCACAAAAAAAAGGCUUUCAUAAGCAGUGGCUAUUUCUGAAAUAUCUCCCGUUAAGAUCCACCAGCAUUGCAGUUUGGCUUCCCCUUCUGACUGGCAGGGAGCUGCAGGAGCUGUGCACCCCUCCAGAAAACCCUUCCCUCCCUCAGAUGAAAAAGUAGAAAGGAUGCCUGAGAUAUUCAAUGUCUGUGGCUCCCAGACAGGGAAUGGGUGAAAGGAGGGGGAGGUUGUUGGGGUAAGCAGCUCUGUUCCUUGGGAAGGAGAGGUUUGUGUUCACCUUACAGGAUUAUAGCUUCCACCUUGGUAUAGGGCAGCUUGGGAAGGGGCUGGUUCCCCAGCUGGGCUCACAUCAGCUAGGAGAGAGGCAAACCCAUAGCUCCUCUUGCACCCACAGCACUGAUCACAGAGCUCACGAUCUUCUUUGCACUACCCUAAAAGAACCAAAUAAAUGAUUUGAUACAUCACUACUUAGCAUGGCACAGCCUUAGACUGUUGGCACCAACCAGAGAGACAAGAGCAGAGCUCAUUUAAACAUAAGGAGCAAAAAAGCUAUGAUUAUACCACCUGCCCGCCUCAGCUUAGCUCAUUCAACAGAAGUUUUAAAAAACUUGGCUGUAAUUCUGCACUUCCCAGCCUGUACUGACACGGACUUAACAGCGCACGGGUUGGGAACUACCCUGACUAAGAGCUGACUUGAUAUCCCCCGAGAGCCAACACGAAUCUCCCCACGGGCCAGGACACUGAUUUCUGCAGAUUGCAGGAGACUUUGCACCAAGCCAGGAAAUCCUGCCUCUGUUAUAUGUUACUUACAUGGUGCCGAGUAUUGUCAGGGCAUUAUGUUUUUUUCUAGGGCUGGACCCUGUGGGCAGUACGCACAUGAAGAGCCCGUGGUGUUGGUGUUUGAGCAGCCUCCCGGUUGCACAGGGGGCUGGAUGUGAUGGCGGGGAGAAGAAUAGAAUAGAAUAAAAUAUCAAAAUAAAAUAUCAAAAUAAAAUAUCAAAAUAAAUCAAAAUAAAAACUUCAAAGCAAAA
ensembl:lncRNA